rnacentral:rRNA from 1 species
AUGACGGUGGUAGCCGGGAUCGCGGUCCAGGAAGACGGCAGCCUGGCGGCGCUGGGGGCCACGGUCCUGAGGGAGGUGCGCGACAAUGUGCUCGUCACGCCGGCCGCCGGGGGCGGCAUGCUCAACGGCGCCUUCCUCGGCAUCCGGUCGGCCCCCGCCGGCAGCCGCAGCGUCUUCCCCGUCGGGAAGCUCAGGGACCUGCGAUUCAUGUGCACGUUCAGGUUCAAGAUGUGGUGGAUGACACAGAGGAUGGGGUCGUCGGGCCGCGACAUCCCCGUCGAGACGCAGUUCUUGAUCCUCGAGGCCGCCGACGACGCCGGAGACGAGAAAUCGGCGGUGUACACCGUCUUCCUCCCGAUCCUGGAGGGCUCAUUCCGAGCUGUACUACAGGGGAACGAAAAUGAUGAGCUGGAAAUUUGCUUGGAGAGUGGUGAUCCAGCUGUAGAAUCAUUUGAAGGCACCCAUCUAGUUUUCGUCGGUGCGGGAUCGGAUCCGUUUGAGGUCAUCACAAAUGCUGUCAAAGCAGUUGAGAGGCACCUGCAGACAUUCUCUCACAGGGAAAAAAAGAAGAUGCCAGACAUGCUAAACUGGUUUGGCUGGUGCACAUGGGAUGCAUUUUACACUGAUGUUACUGCUGAAGGAGUGAAGGAAGGACUACAGAGUUUUGAAAAAGGUGGAACAGCUCCAAAGUUUGACAUAAUUGAUGAUGGGUGGCAAUCGGUCAGUAUGGACCCUGCUGGAAGUGCAUUCGUAUCUGAUAAUGCAGCCAACUUCGCAAACAGAUUAUAUGAUAUCAAGGAGAACCACAAAUUUCAGAAAAAUGGGAGGAAGGGUCACAGGGAAGAAGAUCCAGCAAAUGGCCUCACGCAUAUUGUCAGUGAAAUUAAGGGGAAACAUGAGCUAAAGUACGUUUAUGUAUGGCAUGCGAUUACCGGAUAUUGGGGUGGCGUAAGGCCCGGUGCUGAUGGGAUGGAGCAUUACCAAUCAAAGAUGCAAUUCCCUGUGUCAUCACCAGGAGUUCAGAAGAACGAAUCCUGUGAGGCCUUCAACAGCAUAGCAGAUAACGGCCUUGGCCUUGUCAACCCUGACAAAGUAUUCAGCUUCUACAAUGAGCUCCAUUCAUAUCUUGCAUCUGCCGGGGUCGAUGGCGUGAAAGUAGACGUGCAGAACAUUCUCGAGGCGCUAGGCGGUGGUCAUGGUGGGAGAGUGGUUCUGGCGAGGAAGUAUCAGCAGGCUCUAGAAGCUUCCAUCGCACGGAAUUUCCGCGACAACGGUAUAAUAUGUUGCAUGAGCCACAACACUGAUAACUUAUACAGUUCAAAAAGAAACGCGGUUGUGAGAGCCUCCGAUGAUUUCUGGCCUAGAGACCCAGCUUCCCACACUAUACACAUCGCAUCUGUCGCGUACAAUACUGUUUUUCUUGGAGAGUUCAUGCAGCCGGACUGGGACAUGUUCCAUAGCGUUCACCCGAUGGCGGAAUACCACGCCGCGGCGCGGGCAGUCGGCGGUUGCGCUAUAUACGUGAGUGACAAACCUGGAAACCAUGACUUCGAUCUGCUGAGGAAGCUUGUGCUUCCUGACGGAUCGAUCCUGCGAGCCAAACUCCCCGGGAGACCGACCAGGGACUGCCUCUUCUCUGAUCCUGCAAGGGACAGCAAAAGCAUUCUCAAGAUCUGGAACCUGAACGCGCACUCCGGCGUCAUCGGCGCCUUCAACUGCCAAGGCGCCGGCUGGUGCCGGGAAGGGAAGAAGAACCUCAUCCACGACGUGCAGCCCGGGACCAUCACCGGGGCCGUCCGGGGGCGGGACGUCAGCCGCCUUCCGGAGGUCGCCGGCGAUGGCUGGAACGGCGACGUGGUCGUGUACUCGCACGUCGCAGGGGAGGUGACCGUCCUGCCCAAGGACGCGGCGCUGCCGGUGACGCUGAAGCCGCGCGAGUACGAGGUGUUCACCGUGGUGCCGCUGAAACGGCUGCCGAACGGCGCAUCCUUCGCGCCGGUCGGCCUGAUCGGGAUGUUCAACUCCGGCGGGGCGGUGACGGAGGUGAGGUACGGCGACGACGCCGGCGUGGAGGUGAAGGUGCGGGGAGCGGGCACGGUUGGAGCCUACUCCUCCGCGAGGCCGAAGAGCGUGGCUGUGGAUUCGGAGGCGGUUGGUUUCUCCUACGACGACGGCUCCGGCCUGGCCACGUUCGAGGUCGGCGUGCCGGAGCGGGAGCUCUAUUCGUGGACGGUCUCGGUAGAGUACUGA